rnacentral:lncRNA from 1 species
ACGUACUGGUCAACAAGGAAGAUCAAUCUACUAAACGCAUUUUAAAAACUUUGCUCACUCAAACACAUAAAGGAGCAACAAGCAUCACAUCAAAACAUAUGCACCAGCAUGUAUGCAUAAUAAUAUUGCUAAGCCUUAUGAUAAAUUUUAAUUUUAAAAAAUAUAUUAUUUUUCCUAUAUUUUUAUGAGCACAAAAAUAUAAAAUUAAAUAAUUUUAUCUAUAUUUCAAAAGGAGUAAAUUUGAGGGUGUUACAAUUCUACCCCCUUAAGAUGAAUCUCGUCCUCGAGAUUCGGAAGACAGUGAUCAAAGAGAUAUGGAUACUCUGCCUUUGGAUGUUGUUCACUUCCUUGAGUUGUUCCAUCCUCUUGUAGAGAUUUUGGCUUUACGUUGCACCCUCUAGUAAUCUAUCUCCAAGUGAUAGCACUUUUUGAAGUCAUAACCUUGUUCAAUACCAAACCAAUGAUGAUGUCAACAACUUAGAAUCAACUUAGUGAAGAUUCUUCUUAGGUUCUUAUGAUCCACCUUGAUGACAUUUUUUUAUUUUUUUUAUGUCUAAGAAGAUAGUACUUCCAUGCUCCACAUCACGUCUCACGUACAUGCUAAGUAUGGUGAAAAUUGAUCUCACAACUAAGGGUGGCUCGAACCAAAGAUCAAUCUUGACAAAACUUAAACUUCUUAUAGAUGACCAUAAUCAUAGAAUAUCUCAGAAGACAAUUAUCACUUCAAAAUAGUAUUAUAAUGCAUCAUCCCGUAAUACCAAGGUGCUACCCCCUUAAAAUGAGAUUGGUUGGGGGACACUAAGGACUAGUUCUCCUAUCCUUUUUGACGCUACACAUCAUAGUCUUUUACAUUCGUUGUACCGAGUCUCUUGAUCCAAGGUUAGUUUCAUCACUAAGUUCCAAUUAUCGGUACCUUUAUCACAGUUAAGUUGCUUCACUCUCACACUAUACAUACACUCUGUAGACUUUGGUGUCAUCUGAUCCUCAUACACAACUCUUAAUCCAUGAGUAUCAGUAAUGACAUAAACCUUCAUUGGUAUUAGCACACUCCAAAUAGAAUGAUAUCUUGAAACAAACCAACAUACUAAGCACUUGAUGUCCUUGUAGAUGUUCCAGUUAUUAACCACUUCUUCUCCUUGUAGUUCUUUAAUUGGGCUACCCCCCUUAAGAAAAGUCAACUAGGGGACCAAGAAAGGUAGUUUGCAUACUUUCCAGACAAGUUAACAUUGAGAACUUCUGACAUCCCAAAGAACUUAUGUGCAGUGGAGCAAACAGGUAUCCUGAAAUUUCCUCACGAUAUGAAAAAUACAAGCAUAGUAAAGUAGGUAUAACUCUUAUUCUGUUAAUCCAAUAGAGUUGCAGAUUAUAUCGUUAGAAAAUUUAUGAAAUUCCCUACAGCUUUCAUGUAGAAGUCCUCCUUAGGUUCUGUUUUUAAGCAUAGGUAAAAUAACCAAACAUAAUAUCCUUCCUGAUAAUAUCUCAGCAAAAGUGCAGUAACUUCCAGAAAUUAUAUCUCGAGCUACCUAACUCAUCUGGAGAUGAUCCUUACAUUUUGGAAAAGCUUAGGAAAUCCUCUACAACUUUCGUAUACCAUGUUUUUCCAGAUUCUAUCUUUAACUUGG